GUAUAUAUGUGUAUAUGUACGCUAACAGAAAUAAUAUACUUCCCAUGUUACAAUAUUACAUAUAUUGCUCCCUACAAGUACCUAUGUGCGCGUAGGAAAUGUGGUUUUAUAUUUUUUGCGUACACGGUGCAUCAUGCGGGAUUUGACAAUACCCUACACGGUUGUGUGGGUAGAUUAUCAGGCCAUUAUUAUAGUAGGUAAUAGACAGCAUGAUGUACAUUUUUACUAUUCCGUUUAUAAUGUAAAAUCGUUU